AGCAGCCGCGGUAAUUCCAGCUCCAAUAGCGUAUAUUAAAGUUGUUGCAGUUAAAAAGCUCGUAGUUGAAUUUCGGGGUCUGUCCGUCGGUCGGGCUUCACGGUCCGUACUGGUGUGAUGGGUUCCUACCUUCUGAAUAACCGGCAUGCCAUUCAGUUGGUGCGCCGGGGAAGCAGAGCUAUUACCUUGAAAAAUUAGAGUGCUUAAAGCAGGCUAGUGCUUGAAUAGAUUAGCAUGGAAUAAUAAAAUAGGACGGCAUGGCUCUACUUUGUUGGUUUCUAGGAUCACCGUAAUGAUUAAUAGGGAUAGUUGGGGGCAUUAGUAUUCAAUUGUCAGAGGUGAAAUUCUUGGAUUUAUUGAAGACUAACUUCUGCGAAAGCAUUUGCCAAGGAUGUUUUCAUUAAUCAAGAACGAAAGUUAGGGGAUCGAAGACGAUCAGAUACCGUCGUAGUCUUAACCAUAAACUAUGCCGACUAGGGAUCGGACGAUGUUAAUUUUUAAUGACUCGUU
rnacentral:misc_RNA from 1 species